CAGUAGCCGCGGGAAUACAGAGGAUUUAAGCGUUAUCCGGAAUGAUUGGGCGUAAAGCGUAUGUAGGCGGCCAGAUAAGUCAGUUGUGAAAUCCCCGGGCUCAACCCGGGAAGUGCAAUUGAUACUGUCUGGCUUGAGUAUGGAAGGGGGUAGUGGAAUUCCAGGUGUAGUGGUGAAAUACGUAGAUAUCUGGAGGAAUACCGGUGGCGAAGGCGGCUACCUGGUCCUAUACUGACGCUGAGAUACGAAAGCAUGGGUAGCAAGCAGGAUUAGAUACCCCAGUAGUCCCUGUCUCUUAUAA
rnacentral:rRNA from 1 species